GUGAGUAGUACAUUUACAUAGGUUUUGGGUUUACAUUCCUUCUUGAUCAUUGUUUUUCCUUUCGACAACAAAAUCCCCAACCCGUUCCCUGAAUUUUGCUUUUCUGCUUUUGGGAUUUUCUGGGCUUUGGGUGUAGGGAGAAGCCGGAGGAACAAUUGAGCUUCGCUGCAAGAAAGAAAGUUACAUUCGAUUCAAAUGUGAGAACCUAUGAGCCUAUCUCAGUACAUGGAAGUAUUGAAUCUUUACCAGAGAGCACUGGGGAGAAGGCGACGGAGGAAAACUUGGCAAAAUCAAGCCGAUCCAAUUUACUGUCAGACGAUGAUUCAAACACAUCUAGCUUG
rnacentral:lncRNA from 1 species